rnacentral:rRNA from 1 species
AGAGUUUGAUCCUGGCUCAGAUUGAACGCUGGCGGCAUGCCUUACACAUGCAAGUCGAACGGCAGCAUGGGGUGCUUGCACCUGAUGGCGAGUGGCGAACGGGUGAGUAAUGCAUCGGAACGUACCGGAAGUGGGGGAUAACGUAGCGAAAGUUACGCUAAUACCGCAUAUUCUGUGAGCAGGAAAGAGGGGGAUCGCAAGACCUCUCGCUUUCGGAGCGGCCGAUGUCAGAUUAGCUAGUUGGUAGGGUAAAAGCCUACCAAGGCGACGAUCUGUAGCGGGUCUGAGAGGAUGAUCCGCCACACUGGGACUGAGACACGGCCCAGACUCCUACGGGAGGCAGCAGGUGGGGAAUUUUGGACAAUGGGGGCAACCCUGAUCCAGCCAUGCCGCGUGAGUGAAGAAGGCCUUCGGGUUGUAAAGCUCUUUCGGCGGGGAAGAAAUCGCAUCUCCUAAUACGGGGUGUGGAUGACGGUACCCGAAUAAGAAGCACCGGCUAACUACGUG